rnacentral:rRNA from 1 species
GACGAACGCUGGCGGCGUGCUUAACACAUGCAAGUCGAACGGAAAGGCCUCUUUCGGGGGGUACUCGAGUGGCGAACGGGUGAGUAACAUGUGAGUAACCUGCCCUUGACUUUGGGAUAACUUCAGGAAACUGGGGCUAAUACCGGAUAGGAGCUCCUGCUGCAUGGUGGGGGUUGGAAAGUUUCGGCGGUUGGGGAUGGACUCGCGGCUUAUCAGCUUGUUGGUGGGGUAGUGGCUUACCAAGGCUUUGACGGGUAGCCGGCCUGAGAGGGUGACCGGCCACAUUGGGACUGAGAUACGGCCCAGACUCCUACGGGAGGCAGCAGUGGGGAAUAUUGCACAAUGGGUGGAAGCCUGAUGCAGCAACGCCGUGUGCGGGAUGACGGCCUUCGGGUUGUAAACCGCUUUCGCUCAUGACGAAGCUUUGUGUGACGGUAGUGGGUAAAGAAGCACCGGCUAACUACGUG